GAUCCUAGCUCAGGACGAACGCUGGCGGCGUGCCUAACACAUGCAAGUCGAACGGAACUGUUUUGAAAGAUUUCUUCGGAAUGAAUUUGAUUUAGUUUAGUGGCGGACGGGUGAGUAGCGCGUGAGUAACCUGCCUUCAAGAGGGGGAUAACAUUCUGAAAAGAAUGCUAAUACCGCAUGACAUAUCGGAACCACAUGGUUUUGAUAUCAAAGAUUUUAUCGCUUGAAGAUGGACUCGCGUCCG
rnacentral:rRNA from 1 species